rnacentral:rRNA from 1 species
AUUGAACGCUGGCGGCAGGCCUAACACAUGCAAGUCGAGCGGGGUUUUCGGACCUAGCGGCGGACGGGUGAGUAUGCGUAGGAAGCUGCCCGAUAGAGGGGGAUACCAGUUGGAAACGACUGUUAAUACCGCAUAAUGUCUACGGACCAAAGUGUGGGACCUUCGGGCCACAUGCUAUCGGAUGCGCCUACGUGGGAUUAGCUAGUUGGUGAGGUAAUGGCUCACCAAGGCGACGAUCUCUAGCUGGUUUGAGAGGAUGAUCAGCCACACUGGAACUGAGACACGGUCCAGACUCCUACGGGAGGCAGCAGUGGGGAAUAUUGGACAAUGGGCGCAAGCCUGAUCCAGCCAUGCCGCGUGUGUGAAGAAGGCCUUCGGGCUGUAAAGCACUUUCAGCGAGGAGGAAGGGUGGUGUGUUAAUAGCACAUCAUUUUGACGUUACUCGCAGAAGAAGCACCGGCUAACUCUGUGCCAGCCGCCGCGGUAA